rnacentral:lncRNA from 1 species
AGACCCGAGUGCAGUUACUUCGUGCUGAACUCGUCCUCGGGCCAGGUCGAGGAGGAGCCGUGCGUCGAGUGGGACUUCGACAACUCCACCUUCAGCUCCACCGUUGGCACUGAGUUCCAGCUUGCCUGCGGUUGGGAGUACCUUCGCUCGACGUACCAAAGCAUCUACAUGUUCGGCGUCACGAUCGGGGCGCCGUUCAACGGGGUUCUGGCCGACAGGUACGGGCGUAAGAUGACAGUGGCCGUGGGUUUCGUCGCCUACUCCGCCCUGGCCAUCGGCUCCUGCUGGAUCCCCAACCUCUCGGCUCUCCUGCUCUCGCGCUUCCUCAUGGGCGCCGUCCACCCCACGAUACAGAAGACGGGAUAUAU